GACGAACGCUGGCGGCGUGCCUAAUACAUGCAAGUCGAACGCAGUGGGGACUGGUGAGUAACACGUCGGUAACCUCCCCACAGAGGGGAUAACCCUUGGAUACAGGUGCUAAUCCGAUACUGCUGGAUGGACCCGCGGUGCAUUAGCUAGUUGGUGAGGGAACGGCUCACCAAGGCCACGAUGCAUAGCCGACCUGAGAGGGUGAUCGGCCACAUUGGGACUGAGACACGGCCCAGACUCCUACGGGAGGCAGCAGUAGGGAAUCUUGGGCAAUGGACGAAAGUCUGACCGAGCAACGCCGCGUGAGUGAAGAAGGUUUUCGGAUCGUAAAACUCUGUUGUUAGAGAAGCGGUAUCUAACCAGAAAGCCACGGCUAACUACGUGCCAGCCGCCGCGGUAAUUC
rnacentral:rRNA from 1 species